AAUAGCUCACUUGUUCGGAGUUUUGGCUCGUCACGUCAAAAGUUGUGGGUUCAAGUCCUAUUUUUC
rnacentral:tRNA from 1 species